rnacentral:rRNA from 1 species
UGGGGAAUAUUGGGACAAUGGGGGCAACCCUGAUCCAGCGAUGCCGCGUGAGUGAUGAAGGCCUUAGGGUUGUAAAACUCUUUCAGAUGGGAUGAUAAUGACAGUACCAUCAGAAGAAGCUCCGGCUAACUCCGUGCCAGCAGCCGCGGUAAUACGGAGGGAGCUAGCGUUGUUCGGAAUUACUGGGCGUAAAGCGUGCGUAGGCGGCCUAGCAAGUUGGGGGUGAAAUCCCGGAGCUAACUCCGGAACUGCCUCCAAAACUGCUAAGCUAGAAUCCUGGAGAGGUGAGCGGAAUUCCUAGUGUAGAGGUGAAAUUCGUAGAUAUUAGGAAGAACACCAGUGGCGAAGGCGGGCUCACUGGACAGGUAUUGACGCUGAGGUACGAAAGCGUGGGGAGCGAACAGGAUUGAGAUACCCUGGUAGUCCACGCCGUAAACGAUGGGUGCUAGGUGUUGGGCAGCAUGCUGUUCAGUGCCGAAGCUAACGCGUUAAGCACCCCGCCU